rnacentral:rRNA from 1 species
CACCGCGGUUAUACGAGAGGCCCAAGUUGAUAGACCCUCGGCGUAAAGUGUGGUUAGAGCUAAUUUUAAACUAAAGCCGAAUACUCUCAAAACUGUUAUACGCGUUUGAGAGCCAGAAGCCCCCCAACGAAAGUGGCUUUACUUUAUUGAAACCACGAAAGCUAGGACA